rnacentral:rRNA from 1 species
AGAGUUUGAUCCUGGCUCAGAUUGAACGUUGGCGGCACGCCUAAUACAUGCAAGUCGAACGAGAAAGCACCUUCGGGUGCGAGUACAGUGGCGGACGGGUGAGUAACGCGUAGGAAUAUACCUAGUAGUGGGGGACAACUCGGGGAAACUCGAGCUAAUACCGCAUACGCUCUACGGAGGAAAGUGGGGGAUCUUCGGACCUCACGCUAUUAGAGUAGCCUGCGUUGGAUUAGCUAGUUGGUGAGGUAAAGGCUCACCAAGGCGACGAUCCAUAGCUGGUCUGAGAGGACGAUCAGCCACACUGGAACUGAGACACGGUCCAGACUCCUACGGGAGGCAGUAGUAGGGAAUCUUGGUCAAUGGGCGAAAGCCUGAACCAGCGAUGCCGCGUGUGUGAAGAAGGCCCUAGGGUUGUAAAGCACUUUCAGCAGUGAAGAAACCCCGGUGGUUAAUACCUACCGGUCUUGACGUUAACUGCAGAAGAAGCACCGGCUAACUCCGUGCCAGCAGCCGCGGUAAUACGGAGGGUGCGAACGUUAAUCGGAAUUACUGGGCGUAAAGCGCGCGUAGGCGGUUUGAUAAGUGGGAUGUGAAAGCCCCGGGCUCAACCUGGGAACUGCAUUCCAAACUGUCAGGCUAGAGUAUGGUAGAGGGAGGUAGAAUUUCCUGUGUAGCGGUGAAAUGCGUAGAUAUAGGAAGGAAUACCGGUGGCGAAGGCGGCCUCCUGGACCAAUACUGACGCUGAGGUGCGAAAGCGUGGGGAGCAAACAGGAUUAGAUACCCUGGUAGUCCACGCCGUAAACGAUGAGAACUAGCCGUUGGGCCCCUUGAGGGUUUAGUGGCGCAGCUAACGCGAUAAGUUCUCCGCCUGGGGAGUACGGCCGCAAGGUUAAAACUCAAAUGAAUUGACGGGGGCCCGCACAAGCGGU